UAGGGAAUCUUCCACAAUGGACGCAAGUCUGAUGGAGCAACGCCGCGUGAGUGAAGAAGGUUUUCGGAUCGUAGAGCUCUGUUGUUGGUGAAGAAGGAUAGAGGCAGUAACUGGUCUUUAUUGACGGUAUCAACCAGAAAGUCACGGCUAACUACGUGUCAG
rnacentral:rRNA from 1 species